UACAGAGGGUGCGAGCGUUGUCCGGAAUCACUGGGGGUAAAGGGUUCGUAGGCGGUGUGGCAAGUCGGGAGUGAAAUUUCUGGGCUCAACUCAGAGACUGCUUCCGAAACUGCUGUGCUGGAGUGUGGGAGAGGCGCGUGGAAUUGCAGGUGUAGCGGUGAAAUGCGUAGAUAUCCGGAAGAACACCGGUGGCGAAGGCGGCCUGCUGGGCAGUUGCUGACACUGAGGCGCGACAGCGUGGGGAGCAAACAGG
rnacentral:rRNA from 1 species